GGUCGCAUGAGGCCCUCUCGAGAAUGGGAGGGCUGGCAAAGCUAUAGUCAUGUGACCGCAUGGCUAUAGCCUAUGUGGUCGCAUGGUUGAUAUUUGUGAUCGUUGUGAGCUGUUUUUGACCCUUUUUUAUUUGAAAUUAGUGGUUUUUCAUCCUUGUUUUGCACAAUUUCAUGAAAAACUUGCCAAUGCCUAUAAAUAGGUGAUCCAAGUGUAAGAAAGACAUAUUGAGUUCUAUUGAAAUUUAUCCCCCAAAUUAUACUUCUAAUACUGAGAAAAUUUAUCACAUAAUUCGUCCAUUUUUCACUUGUUCAUUGUGAAGAUACACCUUUGCUUUUUGGUGUUUUUCUUAUCAAGGUUUGUUUAAUCCUACAAAUUAUUUGCCGAAAAUCCCUAAAAAGCAUUGGGAAGGAAGCAAAUAACGUUUGAGGACAGCUAAAUUAAUUUCGUGUUUAAGCCUUCGUUGAUAUACUUAUAUAAUUUUCUUCUCCAUUGCCAUUAUUUUUUCAACAUUUCAUUUGAAGCUUCUGCAGUGAGGAGUGUGAACGUUGUUACUAAUAUCAAAGUAUUCACCUCCAGAAUUCAAUGAUUCAUCUAAAUCUAAUUUCAGAGGGCUGGACACUAAAGUUGAUCUGAAUGGAAGCAGUUCAGACACAAGAAGUGAGCUUCCGUCAAUGUGCCCAGGGAAAUCAAUUCUGAUUUGCGGCAGAGUUCCAUUUCUGCAGUUGAUUGUGAAAAGGUCAAAAUAGACUUCGAAGUUGGAUGGCCCUGAGAAAGGCUAAGUAUUGUGCAGGAAGGAAAAAAGAAACAUAGACAAACAGUGGGUGGAAUUUUCAAGUAAGUGUAUGUUUUGUUCAUGCAGACUGUAUCGACCAUUAAAGGAGAUAUUUUGCAGGGACAGGUCUUUUUCUUUAUUUAUUUAUCGGUAAAUGUGAAAUUCUAUUGAUUAAAAAUCAUAUACAAAUACACGAGGCAUACCUGCGCAAACAACAUUCAAGUGAAGAUUAAAAAUACAUUGGGCAUAUCUGGGCAAACAAAAUGAAAGAUGUACAAAUGAUAAUAGUUAUGAGCCCAAUGCUAAAGACUCAAAAUGGUUUAAAACAUGAACAUGACUUUGUAUACGUAUGCUUUAAUCCGUCUAAUAAUACAAUCAACUUGGGGUCUAAGGUUCUCAAAUAUCCUCUUAUUUCGCGCCAUCCAUAUGUGGUAAACUGUAGCAGCUAAAGCAAUUCUCUUGACCUUACUUUGCCAAGCCGUUCCCCAAGCUUCCUUCUUCACCCAUUUCAAUGAGCUUGAUAAAGUAGGCAUAUUACGUGUGAUGGCUGGCCAACUGCAAAUCUACCCCGAAACUGAAAUUCAGAAGUUGCCUGAACGCUAAAUCUAUUGCCACAACCCAUUUGGCCAGCUUGUGCAUUCUUGCCUGAACGCACCGUUCAGGUCCCAUGAUGCUGUCCCUGAUUUCCAACAAUUUUUUAAGCAGGGGAGAGUUGUCUUUUCUCACCAUGCAUUCCCAAAUGAUCGACAGGUCUUUUUCUUAGUCAGAUGGAAAGUUACGUGGCCAGGCAGGCAAAGAUAAGCUGGCAAACUGAGGUUAGAUUGUCUUUAUCAUAAAAAUACUUGGUUUUAUCUCUGUCCAUACUAUCCUCCCUUUGCAUGCAUGUCAAGCCAGUCAUCAAAGACUACCAGCACACUUGACAGCAAGCCUUACAACUGCAGGAUUAGGAUCUGUCUAGCAUUGGAAAGAGAUGGUAUACGGUUGAACUUCUGGAGGAUAAACCACCCCAGAUUCCAGGAGAUUUGACGGCUAGCUAGCAGAACCUGGAAAUGCUGCAAGACAGGCUUCCUUUCCCAGUCCAAUCUCUAAGAUGUGCUGUUGGUAUUUCAUAUCCCCAUUUGUUUGAAUGUUAUGCGAUGCGUACUUGGACAUGGUUAGAAUUUGAAUAUAAUUGGAAUAACAUUGCCAUCCACAGGUGUAAAGCUAUACUAUGUUACAUAUUUGGUGAGAGUUUUCAUA